rnacentral:rRNA from 1 species
UGAACGCUGGCGGCGUGCCUAAUACAUGCAAGUCGAGCGAACAGACGGGGAGCUUGCUCCUUCGACGUUAGCGGCGGACGGGUGAGUAACACGUAGGUAACCUACCUAUAAGACUGGGAUAACUUCGGGAAACCGGAGCUAAUACCGGAUAAUAUUUCGAACCGCAUGGUUCGAUAGUGAAAGAUGGCUUUGCUAUCACUUAUAGAUGGACCUGCGCCGUAUUAGCUAGUUGGUAAGGUAACGGCUUACCAAGGCAACGAUACGUAGCCGACCUGAGAGGGUGAUCGGCCACACUGGAACUGAGACACGGUCCAGACUCCUACGGGAGGCAGCAGUAGGGAAUCUUCCGCAAUGGGCGAAAGCCUGACGGAGCAACGCCGCGUGAGUGAUGAAGGUCUUCGGAUCGUAAAACUCUGUUAUUAGGGAAGAACAAACGUGUAAGUAACUGUGCACGUCUUGACGGUACCUAAUCAGAAAGCCACGGCUAACUACGUG